ensembl:lncRNA
UUUUUUUUACAUAUUCAAAUCAUAGUGUAAAAGCAGGUGAGCUAGUUCUACUCUUUUUGGCCAUUUUCUGGUGGUUUGUGGUGGAAAAUGUAGUGCAUCGAGUGCAACAUGUCAACCCUGUUACCCAAAGAUAGAUAGGCUCUAAAUAUUGUUUUUUUACAUUGUGAAGCCUGCAUUAAGCUGCCCUUUGAGAUUAAAAACCUCAACUUUUACGGUCAACCUGUUACUUUAAUGGCACUUAGUAUAGUAUACAGUACCAGUCAAAAGUUUGGACACCUACUUAUUCAAGAAAUGUAUUUAUUUGGACUAUUUUCUACAUUGUAUAAUAAUAAUAGUGAAGACAUCAACACUAUGAAAUAAAACAUCAAAUCAUAAGCAAAAAAGUGUUAAAUCAAAAUAUAUUUUUGAUUUGUUUAACACUUGCUGGCCUUCUUGGCCGAGUUGCAAAGAAAAAGCCAUAUAUCAGACUGAACAAUAAAAAUAAAAGACUAACAUGGGCAAAAGAACAAAGACACUAGACAGAGGAACUCUGCCUAGAAGGCAAACAUCCCGGAGUCGCGUCUUCACUGUUGACGUUAAAGACUGGUGUUUUGUGGGUACUAUUUAAUGAAGCUGCCAGGAGAGGACUUGUGAGGCGUCUGUUUUUCAAACUAGACACUCUAAUGUACUUGUCCUCUUGCUCAGUUGUGCACCGGGGCCUCCCACUCCUCUUUCUAUUCUGGUUAGAGACAGUUUGUGCUGUUCUGUGAAGAGAGUAGUACACAGCGUUGUACGAGAUAUUCCGUUUCUUGGCAAUUUCUCACAUGGAAUAGCCUUCAUUUCUCAGAACAAGAAUAGACUGACGAGUUUCAGAAGAAAGUUCUUUGUUUCUGACCAUUUUGAACCUGUAAUCAAACCCCAAAAUGCUGAUGCUCCAGAUAUUGAACUAGUCUAAAGAAGGCCAGUUUUAUUGCUUCUUUAAUCAGAACAACAGUUUUCAGCUGUGAUAACAUAAUUGCAAAAGGGUUUUGUAAUGAUCAAUUAGCCUUUUAAAAUUAUAAAUUUGGAUUAGCUAACACAAUGUGCCAUUGGAACACAGGAGUGAUGGUUGCUGAUAAAUAAACGCCUAUGUAAAUAUUCUAUCAAAAAUAAGCCAUUUCCAGCUACAAUAGUAAUUUACAACAUUAACAAUGUCUACACUGUAUUUCUGAUCAAUUUGAUGUUAUUUUAAUGGUCCAAAAAAAUCUGUUUCUAUCAAAAACAAGGACAUUUCUAAGUGACCCCAAAAUGUUGAACAGUAGUAUAAAUAUAAAAUUAUUGGGGGGGGAUGAAAACUAGCUGUUAAAAGGCAGAGAGGUUUGGAACUCUGUUAUUGGUCUAUUAACCAAUUUACCGCACGUUGAUGUCACCAUGGAAAGCCGCAACUCCCGCCUAUGUAAACCUGCUGAUUAGAAAGUCCUGUGUAGAUUCUAUUUUCAACCAGCAAGUACAUGUCUGUAAGUUGUUACAGUAAGUCUGAUAUGUCUCAAACAUUGUUUCCCCCUGCUGCUGUCUUGGUUGGACCAGGUCUCUCUUGAAAAAUAGAUUAGAAUAGAGAAAUCAGGAAAUAACACUGAUCAAAUAUGUUUUAACACUAGUUUUGUCAGCUGUUGUACAGUAUGAUUUAAAACACAGGAAACCUGAAUUUUGAAUGCACUGGGCCUAUAAAAUUAGGUGAAAUGAAUGGUUGUUUUGUAACCAAGUUAACUACCCAAAAUGUACUCUAUUCGUGGAAAGACUCCUACAUUAUUUUCAAAAAACUUAUUUUGACAGGAAAUGGUUUCAACAAGUCAUUCCAUUAUACUCACUAAUAAUUAUAUGACAGUAAAAUGCAUGUGAAUGAUUAUAUUAUAUUAUUCCAAGACAUGCAUGUUUCCUGUCAUAGUGACAGAAAGACACUCAGUAGGUAUGAGACCACCUUCUGCCUUAACUCCUGGUGACAUACCUCUUGAUGAACAUGACCUGUGCUCUGGAAGAGAAACAAAUUCAGCCGUCUCCUGUUCCCCAGGAAAACAAAGACAACACCACCAUGCUCCACCCAGAAACAAAUACUUUGAUAUCCAACCUCAUUUGCCAAUUUCAAACUUUCCAAAAACUCCAAAGACUGCAUACACUUACUUAGCCUACUUGGUUACAGGAUCUAAGCAAGAGCUAAAGAAAGAAGGCUUGGGGGGGGGAAGAGAGAUGUUGGCAGCCGUGAUGGGUCUUGAGAAGAAUGCACCAGCGUUAUCACUGUGGGUUAUGCAAGAACAGCUUGGUGGAAACCUUUGCCUGGUACAGCGCUGGGUCCCAGCCUCCACGCAGCCAAGGAAUCCUGCCCUGAAGAAUUCCUAAUUGCCCUUCCUGAACGGGAGGCUGUCAGAGAAGUCGAACUCACCCAGGGUCUUCUGCCUGGGUUAUCACACAUGCCCCACGGGCCUCCCUUUUUUCCCAACUUUACUAUUUUUAGAAUUCAUGUCUAAGGCUUUAUUUUUAUUUUUGACAACUGCGAGCAUUAGGUGUAUGAGAGGCAUGAGGAUUGACUCCAUCAUUGUACUGUAUAGCAUGAGCCGAAAACCCUUAAAAGCAUUUACAGUUAGAUAGGGACUUUCCCUCCCGCUGAACUGCAGUGUGUUGCCAUUUAAUAUAAACCGCAUGAUCACUAUCAUUGUAUAUAUAAUUCCUUCUUGCAUCUACACUCUCUCCUCCUCUCACCUUUUCCCUUCUCGUGUGGACUUCAGUGCACCUUACAACAGCUGUCUGUGACCAGAUGAAAAAACCUUUCCAAGCCAAACGCUACACACAGUCUACAUCUAUUUUCACCACAUUAAUGUCAUACUCAACAUAGGUACUAGAACUAACACAUUAGUAAAUCAUGCAGUACAGUGUACAGCAAGCAGUUUAGCAGUGCCAAUACAUUUAUCAAAUGAAAAGCUUACUUUGACUUGGAAGAGUUCCAGUGUUGGAUAGUCAUCGCCAGUUAGCUAACAUAGCAUCCCUUUGUUUGAGCAAGCUAAAUUAGCUAGCUGCAUUCACUAGUAAGUAAGUGAAAGUAAAAAAUAUGUACACUACCGUUCAAAAUUUGGGGUCACUUAGAAAUGUACUUGUUUUGAAAGAAAAACACAUUUUUUGUCCAUUAAAAUAACAUAAAAUUGAUAAGAAAUACAGUGUGGACAUGGUUAAUGUUGUAAAUAACUAAUGUAGCUGGAAACUGCUGAUUUUUUUAUGGAAUAUCUACAUAGACGUACAGAGGCCCAUUAUCAGCAACGAUCACUCCUGUGUUCCAAUGUGACGUUGUGUUAGCUAAUCCAAGUUGAUCAUUUUAAAAGGCUAAUUGAUAAUUAGAAAAUCAAUUUGCAAUUAUGUUAGCACAGCUGAAAGCUGAUGUCCUGAUUAAAGAAGCAAUACAACUGGCCUUCUUUAGACUAGUUGAGUAUCUGGAGCAUCAACAUUUGUGGGUUCGAUUACAGGCUCAAAAGUGCUGUACAGAAACCCAGCCUAAAACCCCAAACAGCCAGUAAUGCAGGUGUAGAAGGACAAUGUCUAGGAAAAACUCCCUAGAAAGGCCAGAACCUAGGAAAAAACCUAGAGAGGAACCAGGCUACGAGGGUUGGCCAGUCCUCUUGGCUGUGCCGGGUGGAGAUAACAGAAAAUGGUCAAGAUGUUCAAAUGUUCAUAGACGACCAGCAGGGUUAAAUAAUAAUAAUCACAGUGGUUGUUGAGGGUGCAAAAGGUCAGCAUCUCAGGAGUAAAUGUUAGUUGGCUUUUCAUAGCCGAUCAUUCAGAGUAUCUCUACCACUCCUGCUGUCUCUAGAGAAUUGAAAACAGCAGGUCUGGGACAGGUAGCACAUCCGAUGAACAGGUCAGGGCAGAACAGUUGAAACUGGAGCAGCAGCACGACCAGGUGGACUGGGGACAGCAAUGAGUCAUCAGGUCAGGUAGCCCUGAGGUAUGGUCCUAGGGCUCAGGUCCUCCGAGAGAGAGAAAGAAAAAAAGAGAGAAAGAGAGAAAAAGAGAGAGAAUUAGAGAGAGCAUACUUAAAUUCACACAGGACACCGGAUAAGACAGGAGAAAUACUUCAGAUAUAACAGACUGACACUAGCCCUCCGACACAAACAUCUGCAGCAUAAAUACUGGAGGCUGAGAAAGGAGGGGUCGGGAGACACUGUGGCCCCAUCUGACAAUACCCCCGGACAGGGCCAAACAGGCAGGAUAAAACCUCACACACUUUGCCAAAGCACAGCCCCACACCACUAGAGGGAUAUCUUCAACCACCAACUUACCAUCCUAAAACAAGGCCGGGUACAGCCCACGAAGAUCUCCCCCACGGCACAACCCAAGGGGGGGCGCCAACCCGGACAGGAAGCUCACGAUAGUGACUCAAACCACUCAAGUGACGCACCCCUCCUAGGGACGGCAUGGAAGAGCACCAGUAAGCCAGUGACUCAGCCUCUGUAAUAGGGUUAGAGGCAGAGAAUCCCAGUGGAGAGAGGGGAACAGGCCAGGCAGAGACAGCAAGGGCGGUUUGUUGCUCCAGUGCCUUUCCGUUCACCUUCACACUCCUGGGCCAGACUACACUCAAUCAUAGGACCUACUGAAGAGAUGAGUCUUCAAUAAAGACUUAAAGGUUGAGACCGAGUCUGCGUCCCUCACAUUGAUAGGCAGACCAUUCCAUAACAUUGGAGCUCUGCCUCCAGCUCCAUUCCAUAACAUUGGAGCUCUGCCUCCAGCUGUUUGCUUAGAAAUUCUAGGGACAGUUAGCCUGUGUCUUGUGAUCGUAGCGUACGUGUAGGUAUGUACGGCAGGACCAAAUCGGAAAGAUAGGUAGGAGCAAGCCCAUGUAAUGCUUUGUAGGUUAGCAGUAAAACCUUGCAAUCAGCACUUGCCGUAAUAGGAAGCGAGUGUAGAAAAUCUAGCACUGGAGUAAUAUGAUCAAAUUUGUGGGUUCUAGUCAAGAUUCCAGCAGCUGUGUUUAGCACUAACUAAAGUUUAUUUAGUGCUUUAUCCUGGUAUUCAGAAUGUAGAGCAUUGCAGCAGUCUAACCUAGAAGUAACAAAAGCAUGGAUUAAUUUUUCUGCAUCAUUUUGGGACAGAAAGUUUCUGAUUUUUGCAAUGUUACAUAGAUGGAAAAAAGCUGUCCUUCAAACAGCCUUGAUAUGUUUGUCAAAAGAGAGAUCAGGGUCCAGAGUAACGCUGAGGUCCUUCACAGUUUUAUUUGAGACGACUGUACAACCAUCAAGAUUAAUUUUGUUUCAUUGAUUGGACUCCAGGUUAGCUGGAGUCCAAUCUUCAACAGAAGAUCUCUUUGUUUCUUGGAACCUAGAACAAGCAUCUCUGUUUUGUCCGAGUUUAAAAGUAGAACAUUUGUCGACAUCCACUUCCUUAUGUCUGAAACACAGGCUUCCAGGGAGGGCAAUUUUGGGGCUUCACCAUGUUUCAUCGAAAUGUACAGCUGUGUGUCAUCCUCAUAGCAGUGAAAGUUAACAUUAUGAUUCUGAAUGACAUCACCAAGAGGUAAAAUAUAUAGUGAAAACAAUAGUGGUCCUAAAACGGAACCUUGAGGAACACCAACAUUUACAGUUGAUUUGUCAAAGGACAAACCCUCCACAGAGACAAACUAAUAUCUGUACAAAAGAUAAGAUCUAAACCAGGCCAGAACUUGUCCGUGUAGACCAAUUUGGAUUUCCAAUCUCUCCAAAAUAAUGUGGUUAUCGAUGGUAUCAAAAGCAGCACUAAGGUCUAGGAGCACAAGGACAGAUGCAGAGCCUCGGUCUGACGCCAUUAAAAGGUAAUUUACCACCUUCACAAGUGCAGUCUCAGUGCUAUGAUCGGGUCUAAAACCGGACUGAAGCAUUUCGUAUACAUUGUUUGUCUUCAGGAAGGAAGUGAGUUGCUGCGCAACAGCUUUUUCAAAAAUGUAUGAGAGGAAUGGGGGAAUCGAUAUGGUCCGAUAGUUUUUAAAAUAUUUUCUGGGUCAAGGUUUGACUUUUUCAAGAGAGGCUUUAUUACUGCCACUUUUAGUGGGUUUGGUACACAUCCGGUGGAUAGAGAGACUAUAUUAUGUUCAACAUAGGAUGACCAAGCACAGGAAGCAGCUCUUUCAGCAGUUUAGUUGGAAUAGGGUCUAGUAUGCAGCUUGAAGGUUUAGAGGCCAUGAUUAUUUUCAUCAAUAUGUUGAGAAAUAUAGUACUAAAACACUUGAGUGUCUCCCUUGAUCCUAGGUCCUGGCAGAGUUUGCAGACUCAGGACAACUGAGCUUUGGAGGAAUAUGCAGGUUUAAAGAGGGGUCCGUAAUUUGCUUUCUUAUGAUCAUGAUCUUUUCCUCAAAGAAGUUGAUGAAUUUUUCACUGCUGAAGUGAAAGCCUCUCUUGGGGAAUGCUGCUUUUUAGUUAGCUUUGCGACCGUAUCAAAAAUAAAUAUUGGAUUGUUCUUAUUUUCCUCAUUAAGUUGGAAAAAUAGGAUGAUCGAGCAGCAGUGAGGGCUCUUCGAUACUGCACAGUACUGUCUUUCCAAGCUAGUCGAGAAGACUUCCAGUUUGGUGUAGCGCCAUUUCCGUUCCAAUUUUCUGGAAGCUUGCUUCAGAGCUCUGGUAUUUUCUGUAUACCAGGGAACUAGUUUCUUAUGACAAUUUUUGUUUGUUUUUAGGGGUGCAACUGCACCUAGGGUAUUGUGCAAGGUUAAAUUGAGUUCCUCAGUUAGAUGGUUAACUGAUUUUUGCAUUCUGACGUCCUUGGGUAGGUGGAGGGAGUCUGGAAGGGCAUCUAGGAAUCUCUGGGUUGCCCGAGAAUUUAUAGCACGACUUUUGAUGAUCCUUGGUUGGGGUCUGAGCAGAUUAUUUGUUGCGAUUGCAAAUGUAAUAAAAUGGUGGUCCGAUAGUCCAGGAUUAUGAGGAAAAACAUUAAGACCCACAACAUUUAUUCCAUGGGACAAAACUAGGUCCAGAGUAUGACUGUGGCAGUGAGUAGGUCCGGAGACAUGUUGCACAAAACAUACUGAGUCGAUGAUGGCUCCGAAAUCCUUUUGGAGUGGGUCUGUGGACUUUUCCAUGUGAAUAUUAAAGUCACCAAAAAUUUGAAUAUUAUCUGCCAUGACUACAAGGUCCGAUAGGAAUUCAGGGAACUCAGUGAGGAACGCUGUAUAUGGCCCUGGAGGCCUGUAAACAGUAGCUAUAAAAAGUGUUUGAGUAGGCUGCAUAGAUUUCAUGACUAGAAGCUCAACAGAAGAAAACGUUGUUUUUUUGUAAAUUGAAAUUUGCUAUCAUAAAUGUUAGCAACACCUCUGCCUUUGCGGGAUGAGAAGGGGAUAUGGUCACUAGUGUAACCAGGAGGUGAGGCUUCAUUUAACACAGUAAAUUCAUCAGGCUUAAGCCAUGUUUCAGUCAGGCCAAUCACAUCAAGAUCAUGAUUAGUGAUUAGUUCAUUGACUAUAACUGCCUUGGAAGUGAGGGAUCUAACAUUAAGUAGUCCUAUUUUGAGAUGUGAGGUGUCACAAUCUCUUUCAAUAAUGGCAGGAAUGGAGGAGGUCUUUAUUAUUCCAGUGAGAUUGCUAAGGCGAGCACCACCAUGUUUAGUUUUGCCCAACCUAGGUCGAGGCACAGACACAGUCUCAAUGGUGAUAGCUGAGCUGACUACACUGACUGUGCUAGUGGCAGACCCCACUAAGCUGGCAGCCUUGCUAACAGCCUGCUGCAUGGCCUACACCCUCUCUCAUUGCAGAGCUAUGGAAGGGAGCUACUACUCCCUUCACAGAACAGCACAAACUGGCUCUAACAAGAAUAGAAAGAGGAGUAGGAGGCCCCAGUGGCCAACUGAGCAAAAGGACAAGUACAUUAGAGUGUCUAGUUUGAGAAACAGAAGCCUCACAAGUCCUCAACUGGCAGCUUCAUUAAAUAGUACCCACAAAACACCAGUCUCAACGUCAACAGUGAAGAGGCGACUCCGGGAUGCUGUCCUUCUAGGCUACAGAUACUCACCUAGUCUAAAGAAGGCCAGUUGUAUUGCUUCCUUAAUCAGCACAUCAGUUUUCAGCUGUGCUAACAUAAUUGCAAAAGGGUUUUCUAAUGAUCAAUUAGACUUUUAAAUUGAUCAACUUGGAUUAGCUAGCACAACGUGCCAUUGGAACACAGGAGUGAUGGUUGCUAAUAAUGGGCCUCUGUACACCUAAGUAGAUAUUCCAUUUAAAAAAUUUCAAAAAUGCCGUUUUUAGCAACCAAAGUAAUUUACAACAUUAACAAAGUCUACACUGUAUUGGAGAAUGGUACACUGGCAGUCAUGAGUCAUGACCGCAGUAAAAUUCUACAUGACAGUUGAGUCAUGGUCAUCUCCUUUUGCGCACUCUGGGAAUGCAUUAUAAGUAGCCCACCCAACUCGAUCAUCAGGUCGCUAAUGGCCUGGGACUCAGGGCUCUAUUGUCCCUCUAACAUCAAUGCAAAAGCAUUCGAAAAUCACAAACACUUACCAAAACAGUAUGUGCUUUUAAAACUCAUCUCAUUGUGAUUGAUCAAUUUGAAGAUAGAAGUUCAACAAUAUAGGUUGAAACUGAAUGGAAAACAUGGUCGUUGUGGAUGUUGUUUCAAAGCCUAACACAACGAAAUGGACAGCGCUUUCUAAGGCGAUAAUUAAUUCAAAACACUAUAUGAGUCCAAGCCCGACAAAAAAUACAGAAAAAUAAUGAUUAUGCCGUAUAUUACACAUGCCAGAAUAACAUUCAAUAGUCUAGUACAACGGCAUUUUUUCCCUCAUAAUUAUUUAUAGACUGACACAUUACCUAUAGCUACAGAAUAUCUCACCAUCGUGAGUUUCCA